rnacentral:rRNA from 1 species
UACAGAGGUCUCAAGCGUUGUUCGGAUUCACUGGGCUUAAAGGGUGCGUAGGCGGCCAUGUAAGUAGGGUGUGAAAUCCCCCGGCUUAACCGGGGAACUGCGCCCUAAACUGUAUGGCUGGAGUGAGAUAGGGGUGUGUGGAACUUCCGGUGGAGCGGUGAAAUGUGUUGAUAUCGGAAGGAACGCCGGUGGCGAAAGCGACACACUGGGUCUCAACUGACGCUGAGGCACGAAAGCCAGGGGAGCGAACGGG